AAGAAAACCCCAAACCUAAACCUGUAUCCUUCUCAGAUUGCUGAGAAUAUUCCCUGUAUUGUGUAUUACAAUGAUGCUACCGAGAAUAUUGUUCUACAAUAGUUGG